rnacentral:rRNA from 1 species
AGGACGAACGCUAGCGGCGUGUUUGAAACAUGCAAGUCGAACGGCAGGAGCAGCAAUGCUUCGAGAGUGGCGAACGGGUGCGUAACACGUAAAGAACCUAUCCUUUAGCGGGGGAUAGCCCUUAGAAAUGAGGGGUAAUACCGCAUAAGGUAUUCAUCACGCAUGUGGUGGAUAGGAAAGGGUUACGAAAGUAACUCACUGAAGGAGGGCUUUGCGGCCUAUCAGUAGUUGUGGGGUCACGGCCUACCAAGCCAAAGACGGGUAGCUGGU